rnacentral:rRNA from 1 species
CCCGCACAAGCGGUGGAUGAUGUGGAUUAAUUCGAUGCAACGCGAAGAACCUUACCUACCCUUGACAUGUCCGGAACUUGCCAGAGAUGGCUUGGUGCCCGAAAGGGAAUCGGAACACAGGUGCUGCAUGGCUGUCGUCAGCUCGUGUCGUGAGAUGUUAGGUUAAGUCCCGCAACGAGCGCAACCCUUGUCAUUAGUUGCCAUCAUUUGGUUGGGCACUCUAAUGAGACUGCCGGUGACAAACCGGAGGAAGGUGGGGAUGACGUCAAGUCCUCAUGGCCCUUAUGGGUAGGGCUUCACACGUCAUACAAUGGUCGGUACAGAGGGUUGCCAACCCGCGAGGGGGAGCUAAUCCCACAAAGCCGAUCGUAGUCCGGAUCGCAGUCUGCAACUCGACUGCGUGAAGUCGGAAUCGCUAGUAAUCGUGGAUCAGCAUGUCACGGUGAAUACGUUCCCGGGUCUU